AUUGAACGCUGGCGGCAGGCCUAACACAUGCAAGUCGAACGAGUGGCGGACGGGGGAGUAAAGUCUGGGAAACUGCACGAGGGGGGGGGAUAACUACUGGAAACGGUAUCGCAAAUCGCAUACCAUCAGAUGUGCCCAGAUGGGAUUAGCUAGUGGGUGGGGUAACGGCUCACCUAGGCGACGAUCCCUAGCGGGUCUGAGAGGAUGACCAGCCACACUGGAACUGAGACACGGUCCAGACUCCUACGGGAGGCAGCAGUGGGGAAUAUUGCACAAUGGGCGCAAGACUGAUGCAGCCAUGCCGCGUGUAUGAAGAAGGCCUUCGGGUUGUAAAGUACUUUCAGCGGGGAGGCGUUACCCGCAGAAGAAGCACCGGCUAACUCCGUGCCAGCAGCCGCGGUAAUUC
rnacentral:rRNA from 1 species